GUGGGAUCGUGUUGGCGUCCUCCUUCCGCGUCAAAGCGCAGGUUAUACUGUCUUGGUCCCGGUUGGACUCCGGGUCAUGUCCUGAGUGGAGACGGCGUUUCCAAAGGGGGCUGGCGUUUCAGGGCUUUGGCCGCUGAUGUGAGCCUAUAAGACUCCUCAAGCUCGGCACGGGUCUGAAGACAGGCAGUGCAUCAUGAGCUCUCUGUUGCAGUGAUAAGGUCAAUCACUGGUAGCUGCUGUGGUGUGAUGACGUGUGGAGUUAUGCCAGGUAAGUUCUUCUGCUCCUGACAGUAGGUUUAGGAAUGCGCAGAUCUGUCUUUUCUUGCUUUUGCCGUGUUUAGACAGCCGUGCUAUCUUGAUGAAAUCAGUGACCUUUUCCAGUGCUUUACUGGGCAGGUGUGCAUCAACUACUACCUGGAAGACUGAAUAUCUUCACAUAGACUUCUUGAGUUAGUGUGCAUAGUUGAACCCACCACUGCCAUGAAUGAAUAACUGUUACAGAAUAUAUAAAAAUAAAAUUUGAUUUUAUAUAUGUGGAAAAAACAUUUUCCUAUAUAUUUUCAUUGUUCAUUAGUCUGUGUAUGAAGUGCUUUAAACAAACUGUUCUGCACUGUGCCAAAAAUCACUCAACUCUUCAAGAGACUGUAAAUCCAACAUGCAGCUUACAUUUCUUAUUGAACACGGACACUGCUUAAUACCUUUAUUAUAAUAAAGCUAAUAGCUUUAUAUAGUGGCUGUGGCUAUACAAAUACAGACCAUUUACAAUAUAGCUAAAAAGUUAAUUUCCAUCUGUAGUCUCUUCUGUUUCUGGGUUGUCUGAAUGGCAUCGUUUUAUCCGUUUCUGUAUUUUAAACCUUUCUAUUUUGAUCUUGCCGUUAAUCUGUUUUGGCAGUGUAUCUUUUGAGGUGGCAUCUUAUGGAUAUUUAUCAUAUUUGAACUCUGUAUUUGCUUACUUCAAAAGCUGCACAACUAGUUCCUCAUUAAGUUUUCUGAUCUUCAUUUUUACCCUAAUGUCACAGCAGUAUGUAUGUCCUUUUGUUUAGGACAUGCUCAGUUCUUUCAAAGAACACAGGAUUUCCUCUGGAGUCGGGAUCGAUGACUUGGCACUUUUGUUUUUAUUUUUUCCGUUCCAUUUUCACCCUCAACCAGGGGUGCAUUUCCCGUACAGCUAUCCCCUGAUGUACAACGGUUUCCCAAAAAUGUCGUACCUUGUUGGUACCACAGUGCUUUGAACCAAAAUAGAACUACAAUGUUUCCAGAUGUGUUCGGUCUGACUUUCACAGCGGGAAACUUGCAAAACUCAAAGACAGUUGUAAAUUAACAUAAAUUAUUAUCUCAUAUUGUAGUACUGGUCAUAAGAAAAACACUACUAAAACAUACAUAACAUCAUCAAAAUAUAUAAUUUUAAUAUCAAUAGUAACAUUUUAGAAUAAAUAAUAUUUAGUAAAAUGGGUUAAAUCGGCAAAUCUUUUUCCCCACUGUAACAAAUACCUUAAACGCUUGAAAAUAGCUCAUUGUGAUAGGUGGGUGAGCUGGUAGAUGUCAUCUAUGGAUUGAUCCAUUAAAGUACUUUAAUAGAUUUUAUGCUGUCUAAAAAAAAAAAAAAGAGAAAAAAGUCCACCCACCCUUUGGGGGACUAAGGCAGUAAAUUAAGUCAUUUUGAACAGGUGGGUAAUCUGUGGGUAUAUACACACCUGCUGUAGUCUACACUACUUAGUAUGCCACGCAAUCAUGCAGCCCUACCCAGGACCUGACAAAUCCAUUUAAGUACUUCUACAACUUCACUUUCAAAAACACAGUUAAGACAAAAGUACAUUUGCUGUUUGUAAUGUUGCAAGGCUACUGUAGGGUUAAUGAUUAAACUGUUGUUGGGGUCAUCACUCCUCAAUCUUCAGGAAUUGUUUUAGACCUUCAACAACUCACAAUUUAAGCAUGUAUAGAUGAACAGCCAAGUCAGUCAUCACGGUCAAUAAUAAGUGGGAUCAGCAUACUUGUCAACCUCAACAUCAUAGCCUAAAUUGGGAGACCAAACCUGUGUCACUCCAUAAACGCUGUGUCAACCCAGAGUCUUGUCUUGAAACACAAGAGCAUUGGUUUAGUUUCAAUGGGGGGGACUCAAAGAGGAGGGUCUGGGGGUCCUUGCCAAGAAAUUUUUAAGCAUUAAAGACUUAAUUUCCUGCAUUCUAAUAAAAAUUUUGCACCAAUUUAUGGUGGAAUUCUCUUAUCUAUAUAAAAGGGAAAUAAAAUUCAGGCAAGUUUUAAAAUUGAUAAAUGUUUCUAAACAUGUCUAAUAGGUUUGUAGUAGUAAUAAUAAAUCAUAAAAUGGUAAUUUGCUUAAAAAAACAGCAAGAAAGUAAAUUGCUAACAAAUGCUUACUGUGCUAAAUAAAAUUUCAAAAAAAAAAAAAAGGCAUGUAAACUAAGCUAACUUCUUUACAGUCACACUGCUGCUGCAGACCUUGUAGUUGGGUUUCCAAACUUUUUUUACCCUCGGCCUUCUGAGUUUACAAUCACAGGAAAACCUUCAUUAAAUUUGUUUUUAAACUUGUACAGUUGCGUGGGAACCAUGUUUAUUUCUUGCAAAUUGGUUGAGCCCUUUAAGAUUUGAAUGUCCAUGAAACUCGCUGAAGAACUUAGAAUAUAUCCGUUUCUCUGAAACAGUGAGCCGAUGCUAAAGAUUACACACAUAAAAAUGUAAUAAACAUUGAGCAGU